CGCGUAGGUGGUAGUGUAAGUCUGGGGUGGAAUCCCAGGGCUUAACCCUGGAACUGCCUUGGAAACUGUAUUACUUGAGUCAGUGAGGGGAGGGUAGAAUUCCUGGUGUAGCGGUGAAAUGCGUAGAUAUCAGGAGGAAGGCCUGUGGCGAAGGCGGCCCUCUGGCGCUGGACUGACACUGAGGCGCGAAAGCGUGGGGAGCAAACAGGAUUAGAUACCCUGGUAGUCCACGCCCUAAACGGUGGACACUAGGUGUAGGGCUCGUAAGGGUUCUGUGCCGAAGGGAAACCAUUAAGUGCCCCCGCCUGGGGAGUACGGCCGCAAGGUUGAA
rnacentral:rRNA from 1 species